UGCCGUAUGGUGUAAUGGUAGCACGCGAGAUUCUGGUUCUCUUAGUCUGGGUUCGAGCCCUGGUACGGCAA
rnacentral:tRNA from 2 species